rnacentral:rRNA from 1 species
UCCUACGGGGGGCAGCAGUAGGGAAUUUUCGUCAAUGGGCGCAAGCCUGAACGAGCAAUGCCGCGUGAACGAGGAAGGUCUUCGGAUCGUAAAGUUCUGUUGAAGGGGAAAAAGGGCGGAGAGAGGAAAUGGUCUCCGAUUGAUAUUACCCUUCGAGGAAGUCACGGCUAACUACGUGCCAGCAGCCGCGGUAAUACGUAGGUGGCGAGCGUUAUCCGGAAUGAUUGGGCGUAAAGGGUGCGUAGGCGGCCUGCUAAGUCUGGAGUGAAAGGUACCGGCUCAACCGGUACAGGCUCUGGAAACUG